GUAACCACCGUGAUAGAUAUCUUUUUAUCGUUAUCUUACCAAUAGCAAUUAAAAAUAUAAUUAAUUCGAUAACUAAACAUGAACUUCAAUCAUUUUGGUUUUUAAUUAUCACUAAAGUAAAAAUGUAACAAAGAGGUUAUCAUUUUGAAGAUAGUAUUUUCACAUAUUAGAACCACUAAUCUAAUCGUAAGUGGUUUUGUACGAAGAGUACAAAAUGAAAUAUAUCUCUCUCUAUGUGUUCAUUCUUGCUGCAGUUAGCGCAGAAAAAAAUCUUAUUGUUCAACUUGAAGAUGGUUUGGUGGAAGGUUUCUAUGCAAAUUCUUAUAACGGACGUAAAUUCGCUUCAUUUGAAGGAAUUCCUUUCGCUGCAGCUCCUGUAGGAGAAAAUAGAUUCAGGCCUCCGCAACCAACACCAAAAUGGAACGGAACAUUAAAAGCAAAUCAAGUAUACACUUGCAUUCAGUUUUCUACAAAUCAUGUAUUAGGUACAGAAGAUUGUCUUUAUAUAAAUGUAUACGUUCCGAAAGAAAAACUUAACCGCGACGAUAAAUUGGAUGUUGUUGUUCAUAUUCACGGCGGUGCUUUUAUGGUGGGAACUGGUCAUGGUUUAGCAGGUCCAUCAAAAAUUAUGGACCGCGAUGUAGUAUACGUAAAUUUUAACUAUCGUCUUGGUCCAUUUGGUUUUUUAGCAACCGAAGAUGACGUUUUUCCCGGAAAUUAUGGUUUAAAAGAUCAAGUUCAAGCUUUACGCUGGGUUCAAGCUAACAUAGAACACUUCGGUGGGAAUAAAGAUUCGGUCACGAUUAUUGGAUUAUCUGCAGGAGGAGCAAGCGUUCAUUUACAUUAUUUUAGUUUGAACACUGAUGAGGUUUUAUUUCAUAAGGGUUGGGCUCAAAGUGGAUCAGCCAUGAACCCUUGGUCGUUAAAAAUAGAUUCUUUAAUAAAUGCAAAUAAAUUAAUUACCGAUGUUGGGUGUAAAGAUGAAGAUGUCAAUGUAACAUUGAGAUGUAUGCGACAAAGAACAGCUUUGCAAAUUGCCGAAAAUAUAAAAGGGACUUAUGCAACACCUUUGUUACCUUUAGUACCUUUUGGGCCAAGUUACGAAUUGAUGGAUAUAAAUAAUAAGGAGCCUUUUUUGACAACAGCGCCUUAUUUACAACUUAAAAAUGGAAAAGCUUUGGAUCGCCCAUUUAUUAUUUCUCAAACUACAGAAGAAGGACUUUUACCAGCUGCUUUGUAUUAUAACAACUUAGAAGAUCUUGAUAGGGAUUGGAAUGAAUUAGCGCCGUAUAUGUUGGACUUUUAUCAUAUGCCGCGACAAGAUUGGCCGAUAAUUUCCGAAAAAAUCAAAAAAUACUAUUUUAAAGGAGAAAAUAUCACCAAAACUAAUUUUAAAUCGUUCGUAAAUCUUUGUAAUCAACGUCUAUUUCAUAUGGGGGCCGAAUUAUCAGCUAAAGUGCAAGCUAACGUCUCUAAUUCAGAAGUUUACUUUAUGAUGUUUGGUUAUCCUGGAGCUAAUUUAAACUUAACAAAGAUAAUUUAUAAAGCAGAUAGGGUGUUGGGCACGCUUUCGAUGCUAACUAUUUUUACGAGUUUAAUAUCGGCUCCAGAUUAACGGCUGAAGAAGAAAAAGUAAAAGAUAUAAUGUUGGAUUUUUUGGUUUCAUUUGCUAAAACCGGGAAACCAACUUCAAAUGGAAUUGAAUGGAAUCCAGUUGGGAAAGGUUAUAAUUUAAAAUAUUUAUUGGUUAAAAAUUCUAAAGACAUUGUAAUGAAAUCGAAGAGUCUUUCGGACGCUGAAGAGUUUUGGAAAUCAUUAGGAAUUAAAGGAGAAUAUAGUCUUUAUUAAUUUA
rnacentral:misc_RNA from 1 species